GCAUAGUGUACAACAAACUGAACAUGGUUUAAACUGGUUACUAAUACUUUGAUAGACAUAGAGGUGCCACUUCAGUGAGUACACUACAUACACCCCACCUGGCAGCAGCAUUCAGCAUGAUGCUCAUAUUUGCAUGAAAAGGAAUACAGUUCUUCCUCUUUACUUACUUGGAAAGGCGAGACCAAUGCACUAUCCGUGAUUCCUAGCCUGUACUACAAUGGCCAUGAUUCCAGGAAAUAAAAUUGCAGCAAAAUCACUAACUAAUCCGGCAUAUACCAUAAGAAUGUGACAUUUUAUCGUAAACCUCCACAUCAACAAGCAUUCUAAUAUUACUGAUGCUUAACAGCUCCCAUUCCAGAUUUUUCCGGGACCGGUUGAAUUCCUCCUCCAGGAUGGUAUCACUUCCGGCUCGACUAGAGAAUUCACCAUUCCGAAUUCAAAAGGACUAAAAGCACUGCGCUCCCAUGAGUGCAUUUCGUCGAACAGUGAGCAAUCCUUUGUCCUUUCCUUCGGUUAAUGUUCUGGUGGAAACACGGACGUGUCAAAUCCCCUUUGAACUGUCCAAAUUCCGGUGGGUUUCGCAUCGAAAUUCUGAUUAAAGAUGUUUACAAUGAUGUUCUUUUUUGCUGCAAAAGAAAGAGAGAGUACUCCUCACUCGCCGCCGCCGCCGCUCUACGGCCUUUGUUGCCGCCGCCGAUCUUCUAAACCACCACUCCUACCCUCCACGCAGCACCCCUCCCUCUCCCUCCCUGCAAACCCCGAGCCGCCAUCCCUACCCUGAUCCUCCCUCCGCCGCAGUUCUCUGCUUUUCUGGAGCGACGGACGGGCUUUGCUACGGCCUAGCUCCUCCACCUGUCGUCAGCCACGACGAUUGCUGGCCUGCUGGAGGAGUCGUACGUCGCUUCUACCUUCUCCACCGUCGGCGCAUCCCCGUUCGUGGGGGUUCAAGAUCUUUUGGUAGUUUUUGCAAGCCAGAUAAUGUCUUGCACACACCAGGCUAUAAAGACAGGAGCAAAUAUUGGCUUUCAGUAGUUUGAAGGAGGAUCAUCAGGAGCAAAGGGAUUAUAAGCUGUAAAGUAGCUAGUUUGCAAAUCCAACUGUGGUCAAGUCACUGAGGUCGCCCACAUGAAUCUAGCAAGCACAUUUGCGGGGUAGCCUGCAGGUCCACAACACAAGGAAAUGAAUUGCUACCAAUCUUCGUUACAGCAACAAAUUUGAUUUUGUGGGAUCGAAUUGAAAGCAGACGGCCGUAAGUAAAAUAACUUGUUUUUAUAUCGUGUAACUGCAAACGGCUUAUAGUAUAAAACGGUUUCCUUUAUCUUA